rnacentral:rRNA from 1 species
CAAAAACAUAGCUGAGAAUAAAAUUCAAGGUGUAACCUGCCCAGUGGUUAAUAAUUUAGAAUAACGAUCUUAAAAUUUAACUAAACGGAUGCGGUAUCUUAACCGUAAUAAAGUAGCAUAAUCACUCGCCACUUAAUUGGUGGAUGGUAUGAAUGGUUGAACGAAUAUUUAACUGUCUUAUAUAAAAAAUUUUGAAAUUAAAAUAAUAGUAAAGAUGCUAUUUAAAACUGUAAGACGAAAAGACCCUAUAGAGCUUAACUAUUUUUUUUUUACUUAUAUUAAUAAUUUUAAAAAAUUAUAAGUAGAGAAUUAGGUAGUUUAGUUGGGGCGACUACCUUUUAUUAAUAUCAAAGGUAAACAAAAUAAAUUAAUUUAUUUAUUGUAUAAUAUAUCAAUUUAACAAUUAUAAAAAUAGGUAAUAAUGACCCGUUAUUAUUAAAAAAUAAAAAUAGCGAUUAAUAAAUAAAAGCUACCUUAGGGA